rnacentral:rRNA from 1 species
GAUGAACGCUAGCGGCAGGCUUAACACAUGCAAGUCGAGGGGCAGCGAGGGUAGCAAUACCUGUCGGCGACCGGCAAACGGGUGCGGAACACGUACACAAUCUGCCUCUGUCUGGGGCAUAGCCCGAAGAAAUUCGGAUUAAUUCCCCAUAAGAUAUUAGGGUGGCAUCACCUAUAUAUUAAAGAAAUUCGGACAGAGAUGAGUGUUCGUCCCAUUAGCUAGUUGGUAGGGUAACGGCCUACCAAGGCGACGAUGGGUAGCUGGUGUGAGAGCACGACCAGCCACACGGGCACUGAGACACGGGCCCGACUCCUACGGGAGGCAGCAGUGAGGAAUAUUGGUCAAUGGACGCAAGUCUGAACCAGCCAUGCCGCGUGAAGGAUGAAGGCCUUCUGGGUUGUAAACUUCUUUUAUCUGGGAAGAAAAGCACUGUUUCUACGGUGUCCGACGGUACCAGAGGAAUAAGCACCGGCUAACUCCGUGCCAGCCGCCGCCGUAAAAC